CAGCAGCUGUGACCGUGUUCGCAGGUUCCAAGGGAACAGCUUUUAAAAUAUAUAUAAAGAAGAAAUAUCAACGCCACGAAAGGUUUUAUAACAUAUUAACGAAGUUAUGAAAGAAAAAACGAAAGAUUUUCUGCAAAUGGGAAGAAGAACUGGUUAUUUGUUCGUAUAGUUACGUGAUUACCCCUUCUGACAAUGAUUCAAGUCGCUGUAGAGGAAGGAAUGCGCAUAUUUCCGUCUUGAGACUCCGUCCCGACUAAUCGGAAUCGACUACGGGUCUAUACUGUAUAAUAUACUUGCAAUAUAUAAUUAAAUUUGUUUGUAUCUUUUUCAUUUUACAGGAAACGAGAAUGUUUUCAGGAACCUUGUCUCUUCAGUCAUCGCCAUCAACAGUAAUGAUUCUGUAAUUCCCAGAUGCAACACUGUGACGGACAGACUUGGCAAGUGUGUUUGUCAUUAUGAAUUUUGUUUAAGCUGGUAUCCUUGUGCAUUAAAAUAUUGCGACGACAACAGCCAGGGAGGUGAUAGAGUAUCAUAUCGCUGUGGCAUCAAGACGUGCGGAAAAUGCAGACGAUUUCAGUAUUACGUUGAGCAACACGACGAUUGUUUCUGGGAGACACCAUUUAUUAACGCCAGCUGAUAUUUGCAAAACAUGGAGUGGCUGAAGGUGAAUUGUCGCAAUAUUGAAUUAGAGCCCAUACCCCCCCCCCCCCCCCC